rnacentral:lncRNA from 10 species
GGGGUUGGAGGCGGAGGAAUGUCAGGAAUGAGAUGGAGGCAGGGGCCGCAUAGUGAGUAGUGCUUUAAAAUUCAUGUUAGGGAGUUUGGUUUUUAUCCAAAGGGCAAUGAGAAGAAAAACAAAAACAAAAACAAAGAUUUUAAGCAGGCGCCACAGGAUCAGGCUUGCAUUUGAAAAUGCUCUCCAGCUCUUGCCCUGUCAAGAAUGGAUUAGAGGGAAACAAUACUGGGUGCAAGGAGAAUGUCAAGGUACAUUUUCUUAUUUUAAAAAAUAGGAAAUGUCAUCCUUUGCUGUGCUUGUUACCCUUGAAUGAGAAGUGCUCAACUUCAAAAUGGAUCAUUCACUGAUACCAUGAUGACCAAUUAACAUCACUGGCCACCAAAGAGCUGUGGAAGAAAUCUCACUGCAGAGCUGACUUCUAUCCCUCCCGACGGUACAUGACCCUCCUUUAUUUCGACUCAGCUGUCACCUAAGCCUGUCAGGGAUCCAACAGCAUAUACCGGUCACAGCGCAUUGUUGAAUAAUACUCCUCAGGAAGUGUGCAGAUCCACCUUUUCCUUCAUCAUUUCAGACAGGUGAACCAACUCUUCUUCACUAACUGGAGCCACGAGUCCAGGGCCCUAGAUAUCAACCUAUCAGCACACGUAGUGUACACUUAGUACAUGCUAGAUUCUUAUUGCUCCCUGUCCCCAAGAUGCUUAUGAUUAAACAUCAAAGUUACUUUAAAAAAUCUAGAAUUUGGAAAUACUUGGCUUAAUUUACAAAUUCAUUGCCCUUUUAAAUGACUUUCCACGCAUAUGUAGGUUAACACUUCUUUUUGCAGUCGCGUUCCUAAAAGUCUCAGACACCAAGUGAAAGCUGAAUGUUAGUAAGUGUCUCAAAUUGGUUCUGAAGUUAGAGAAAUCUCCAAGCGAGACUAUCUAAUUAAAAGAUGUGCAACUUUUUGGACGUGAAAUCCACCUUACUGUUUCCCUGUCUUCUUUUAGCACUUAAGGAGGCUCAUUUAUUUCUGGUGCUGCACUUGUCAAGAUUUGGGGAGAGAAUGUGUUUGCAUAUAUGU